GUCUACGGCCAUGCAACUCUGAACGUGCCUGAUCUCGUCUGAUCUUGGAAGCUAAGCAGGAUUGGGCCUGGUUAGUACUUGGAUGGGAGACCACCUAGGAAUGAAUACCAGGUGCGGUAGGCU
rnacentral:rRNA from 1 species